AAGGGAUGAGGCUUAUAGCUCCCUGCAGCCACCCUCCAACCCAGCAGGGGGAUUCUGGGUGGCUGGAGGAGGGGCCAGGUUAGGUGAGAGGGCAGGCACGAUGGGGAGGAAGGUGAAGCCAGAUGCCUCCUUCCAACCACAGGAAGUCCCUGUGCUGAAAGGUGCUGGCUGUAGUAAUCCUAUGAGGCCCUGUCCUGCCCCUCCCACCUGUCCUCUGGGGGUCACAGGCUUCGAAGGUGGAGUUAAGUAUUUGCUCCUCUAAGCUGAGCGGUGUCCCCAGGAGCCCCUCCUCCGGCUGGUCCCAGAGGUACACUGAGGAGACAAGACAGCCAGUCAGGAGAGGACUGACUCAGGCUUCUGCAGCAGGGGGAUUCCCUUGGAGCUGCCUGGAGUUGGGGCUGGUGGGGAACAGGAGGGGGCUUCAGGUAGGGGCAGCAAUGUGAGGCUCUUGAGUCAGCGCCCUGCCCACCGCCCUGGGGGUGUGGGCCCCAUCUUUCAGACCAGGAAAUCCCUGCUGCUGUCUGAUGCUUUGUGUCCAAUCCACUCAGGAGCCCAGACAACCAAUGAACAAUCAGCCUUUCCUCCUCACUUCUUCUGCCUCCCAGGCUCACCUCAGAGGGAACUAGAGGUGGGGGAGGGCAGAGAAGAGAGGAUUCUGGGAGGAGCUGAGGGGGAAGGGGCCCAGGAGCCAGGAACAAUCCGAUAACAUUCUGGCAGCCUGGAUCGAUUCUGCCUGCUGCAUCUCUGGUUGGAGCCCGCUUCGUGGGCCGGCCUCUCCCCUCUCACCACCCCCAGGUGGAGCUUGCGUCCUGGAAGUCCAAGGCCAGGAGCUCAGAGCCCAGCUGUGCUACUAUGGGCAAGCUGCUUCUCUUUGUGGAGCCUCAGUUUCCCUGCCCAUAAAGUGGAGGCAAGGCAGAGGGAUACCCUGCUCCAGGGCUGGGAGGAUGAGAUCUAUGUGUGUGUGCAGAACUCACACAAACACACACAUUGUAUGUGACCUAGGGUCUUCUUGUUCACUGCUGUGUUCGUGGUGUCUGCACACAGUAGGCACUCAAUAAAUGCUCCAAGAUAUGGGAGGAGAUCCUCUAUCUCCAGAACCCCUGGAGCAGCCCAGCCUCUUUCCCAGGGCUGGCAGUGACCUUCAGGA